rnacentral:tRNA from 1 species
GAAAAAUUAGUUAAUCCAUAACAUAAGCUUGUCAAGCUUAAAUCAUCGAACGAUCGAUAUUUUU